rnacentral:rRNA from 1 species
GAUGAACGCUGGCGGCGUGCCUAAUACAUGCAAGUCGAGCGAACAGACGAGGAGCUUGCUCCUUUGACGUUAGCGGCGGACGGGUGAGUAACACGUAGAUACCCUACCUAUAAGACUGGGAUAACUUCGGGAAACAGGUGCUAAUACCGGAUAAUAUAUUGAACCGCAGGGUUCAAUAGUGAAAGACGGUUUUGCUGUCACGUAUAGAUGGAUCCGCGACGCAUUAGCUAGUUGGUAAGGUAACGGCUUACCAAGGCAACGAUGAGUAGCCGACCUGCGAGAGUGCUGGGCCACACUGAAGAUGAGACACCGUCCAGACUCCUGCGGAAGGCAGCCGUGGGGAAUCUUCCGAAAAAGGCGAAAGCCGGAACAAGCCACAACGGCUGGUUGAAGAAGGUCGUCGCAUUGUAAAACACUAUUAUCAGGGAAAAACAAAUGAGGAUAAAAAUAUCGAAGUCUUGAAGGUACCCAAUGAGAAAGCGACGGGUAACUACGCG